rnacentral:sRNA from 1 species
UGCGAAUAUCCCCUCCUAUAUAGAGCCGAAAAUAAUUUGAACAUAAACAGGAAUUAUUGCCAGCCAACAACAGGACAAGCAGCAGGAGCAGCAGGAGCAGCAGAGGCAGACGGAGGCCAACAGCAACAUAAGAAAUAACAAGGCCAAGACACAGAGAAAACUUUAAAUUCCCUCAAAUAAGCCAAGAAAGGACAGAGAGCGAGAGAGAGAGAGAGAAAGCCGUGCAGCAGGCGGCGGGGAAAUAAAUAACAACAAAGUUGUCAUAAUAAAAAUACAUAAAUAAAAGCUGAGGAAUUUAUGCCACAAUAACAACGGGGCAGCCCAAGCGGCAGCGGCAGCAGCAGCAGCAGCAGCAACAGCAACAGCAACAGCGGAAGCAGCAGCACCACCGGAAGUAGUUCCAGAACAAGUUGGAAAUCUGGACAUAUUUGUGAUUCGGUGCGUUACUGCUGUUGCCUGAUUUCCAAGGCUCAUACGAUCGGAAUUUAUACUCUCUCUGCAUAAGCGCACCUUCAGAAUGCGGAUCUGACACACUGAGGCCGGCUUCGGCUCUGGCUCGUCUUUGGCUCCUCUUUGGCUCCUCUUUGGCUCCUCUUUGGCUCGUUGUGGUAAAAACUGACGGCAAGGCGCCGAAGGUGUGACCACCAGAAAGCCAGACAGACGACAGGCACAUAUUUCAGAGCCGGGCAGGGCAUCGCUUACUUGGCCAUUGGCCUAAUGAGAAAUUAUGGCCGCAUCUACUCGUACGAGAAGCUCGGGCACUCCGGACGUAUGGCCCGGCCCGGCCCGGCUCGGCCUAUACUUUGCGGCUGCUGGCCAAUGCCAAUCUGUCCCUGCCCAGCUCUGUCCUGCCCUGCCCUGUUGUCUGCCCUGCCAUGCCCUGCCCUGUAGUCUGCUCUAAUUAUGCUAACCACUUGCGCAAACUUGGACUUGGGGACAGCGGCCCGAAGAAGUUUCCGAGCUCUGACGGGGGCCACAUCAAAGCAAAAGAUUUAAUUAAAAAUUUGAUAACUUGGUCGCUCUGCGGUAUGGUACCUUUUUACUUUUUUUCUUUUGUUUUUUUGUUGAUGUUGUUUUUUACUUUUUUGGCGUAGCUGCUGGCCAUCAUCUGCAGAUUCCAUCAUCAGAAAUUUAAUCAAGACUAAAAGUUGGACCAGGCCAGAGCCAGAGCCAGUCCCCACUCGGAUAAUGAGAAUCUACUCAUACGUAAGUAAUUUGCAUAUAUCAAAUACGUAUAAUCGCCGGUGUUCUUAUAGCCUCCUCAGAGGUACGCCAAAGACAGUUCCAAAAUAAAUUGUUUACUGUUACGGAAAUGUAAUUUGCGGUUGAUUUUCUGUAUAUGGGAAUACUCCCAUGCAUGUACAAUGUAAAGAAUCCCUUGAA